UACGUAGGGUGCAAGCGUUGUCCGGAAUUAUUGGGCGUAAAGAGCGUGUAGGCGGCUUGUUAAGUCUUGCGUGAAAUCUCGGGGCUCAACCCCGAGCGGUCGUGAGAAACUGGCAGGCUAGAGUGCGGGAGAGGAGAGUGGAAUUCCUGGUGUAGCGGUGAAAUGCGCAGAUAUCUGGAGGAAUACCGGUGGCGAAGGCGGCAUCCUGGACCGGCAUUGACGCUGAUGAGCGAAAGCUAGGGGAGCAAACAGG
rnacentral:rRNA from 1 species